rnacentral:rRNA from 1 species
ACAAAAAUGCACAUACUGUGAGCUCGAUGAGUAGGGCGGGACACGUGGUAUCCUGUCUGAAUAUGGGGGGACCAUCCUCCAAGGCUAAAUACUCCUGACUGACCGAUAGUGAACCAGUACCGUGAGGGAAAGGCGAAAAGAACCCCGGCGAGGGGAGUGAAAAAGAACCUGAAACCGUGUACGUACAAGCAGUGGGAGCCUCUUUUAUGGGGUGACUGCGUACCUUUUGUAUAAUGGGUCAGCGACUUAUAUUCUGUAGCAAGGUUAACCGAAUAGGGGAGCCGAAGGGAAACCGAGUCUUAACUGGGCGUUAAGUUGCAGGGUAUAGACCCGAAACCCGGUGAUCUAGCCAUGGGCAGGUUGAAGGUUGGGUAACACUAACUGGAGGACCGAACCGACUAAUGUUGAAAAAUUAGCGGAUGACUUGUGGCUGGGGGUGAAAGGCCAAUCAAACCGGGAGAUAGCUGGUUCUCCCCGAAAGCUAUUUAGGUAGCGCCUCGUGAAUUCAUCUCCGGGGGUAGAGCACUGUUUCGGCAAGGGGGUCAUCCCGACUUACCAACCCGAUGCAAACUGCGAAUACCGGAGAAUGUUAUCACGGGAGACACACGGCGGGUGCUAACGUCCGUCGUGAAGAGGGAAACAACCCAGACCGCCAGCUAAGGUCCCAAAGUCAUGGUUAAGUGGGAAACGAUGUGGGAAGGCCCAGACAGCCAGGAUGUUGGCUUAGAAGCAGCCAUCAUUUAAAGAAAGCGUAAUAGCUCACUGGUCGAGUCGGCCUGCGCGGAAGAUGUAACGGGGCUAAACCAUGCACCGAAGCUGCGGCAGCGACGCUUAUGCGUUGUUGGGUA